ACAAGAGGGCUCUUCUGGGCCAGGGGCACUGGCCUGGAGCGGUGGCAGCACAGGGGGAAUGAACAAUUUGGUUUCUGAUGUGGCUGAGGGAAAUUGUGCCUCUCCAGGUAAGGAGAACUAUCGAGUACCUUCUUUUGCCAUAUCCAGAAGGGAAAGGCAAACCAAGGGCUCUGGGGCUGGGAAUGAGGACAGUGGCACAGUGUCAGACACAUCAUCACCACCUUGAACCCACAGGGCACAGGAGCUGGAUCCUAAGGAGGGAUCGUCACCAGGUGAGCUCUUCCUUGCUCUGGCAGCUUUGAGCUUAUCAUAGUGGGAAGUCCUCAAUCCAAAAACCCAGUGUGCCCUGUGAAGGCACUGACAGGCUCCAGCUGCAGCAGGAGGGUGAGCAGAGAAUGCCCAGCAGGGUGUAAUUCCUGGCUAAAGCCAAGGCCACAGCACAGCCUCCUCCCUCUGUUUGUGCUCUCUGCAUUCUCAAGUUGUGGGUGCUGGUGCCCACACAACCCACCUCUGCCUCUCCCCCUGCCCUACCCUGCUCUGAUCACUCCCCUGGAGCAGAGCAGUUCUCAGCUGCCUUUUCCCUGCCACGUUUCCAAGGGGAGGAUGGCAGCUCUGACAGCUCCCGAGCUGGUAAAUUGAGUUUGCAGUAAUCCCAAAUACCUGAGAUAAGAAGCACAGCUCUGCCAUGGAGGCUGAGGGCUUUAAAAGCAGGGAAGGGCAGGGACUGGGAUGGAUGUACGUGCCUGAUGUCAUGUGUCCCUGCCAGGGCUGGAGCCUAAUUGGAUUUCACAAAUGUGACUUCUGUGUCUCUUGAUCACAAAGCCAAAUUAAACCUCAAGAAGUUUUGAACAAAUCCCUACCUAAAAGUUUGCCUAAAAAAAAAAAAAAAAAAAUAUGAUAGACUCAUUCCAGCCCCUCCUCUGCCCCAGAAGGGGAGCAAAAGGAAAACUUCAAACCAGAACUAUUGCUUUAAAAUAAAUAAGCAGAGAAGCAAAGCACAGCCAGCAGAUCUGCUGAAUUCCUGGGUGCACUGAAUAAAAUCAGUCAUGUGAUAAUGAUGGGAUUUUCUAGAACACCUUUUAGGCAUGCAAUUUCUGCAUUAAAUCUAUUCAGACGUCCCUCGAACAUCUGUUUCUUCUAUAAAAUGGGAGUAGCAGCCACUUUUUACAGUGCACUGACAGCCACAGAUAAAAGCCUGGUAAUUGCUAGCAGGGACUACUUCAAAGUUAACCUGCCAAGAUUUUUAGGGCUAUUGCACAUGAUAGCCCUGUGCUGGUUCACACAAAUUUGGGAGGUGAGGUACAUGUUAAAAUUGUAGGUAACAGUGGGAUUCAAACAGAUUCCAGCCUCUCUUGAAGCCAGAUCAGAAGCAGGCUGAUGCCUGGAGUCACAGUAGCAGAGGGAGCAGAGUAAAUCCCCUGAUUCGCUGUUAAUGUGACCUAAAAUCAGUGGGAGCUGCUUUAGCACGUGGGUGCCACGAGCUGCUCUGCCUCCCUUCAGGGAGACACCAAAACACCUGCUAAAAGCCUGGAUAUCCCCGAAAGAGAGGAGCCAUUUAUAGCUCCUGCCCGGGAAGAUCCACAGCUCUGCAGCAGCACGGGUCCUGGCUGCUUUUCAUCCAGCUCUCCCGAUGUUUAUUCAUGAGUCGGGGUGCAGGGAAGAUGAAAAGGCUGCUGGCAGACUUCUCCCUGGAGUCUCCACUUGAAAUGGUACCACAUUUCCAGGGAAGCCUCACUUGUGCUCAUAACAAGGCUGAUCCUCAUGGGAACACCGUUGUUCCUCUGUAGUUCUCAAGGCAAGCAAACAUUAUCCUUAUUGUCCAAACACUGAGGCACAAGGAGAAGUCAUUAAACCUCACCUGCUUUGGUGAGACCCAGAGCUGGAGUGAGAUUAUUUCAGUGCUCUUGAAAAGCCCAGUGGCAAUCCUGUGAUUUGCUUGGUGCCUCUGGGCUUUACAGCAGCUGUAAAAUAGCACCCAAAAAACCAGGGGCACAGGGACUGCUGGCGCUCGAGCAGAGCAAGUUCUGCUGCAGAAAAGCCACCUGAGAUCUAUGUUUGUAACAGGGAAUGGCAGGUAUUGGAGAAAAACAAACAAACAAACAAAAAACCAAAACAAACAACUAAACCCUUGCCUUUAUGAAAAGAAAGUGAUGUUGUGGAGGACUUCUGAGCUCGGAAUAGCUGCUGCCAUCCUCUGUCACAGCCUCACUCCGUGAGCAGGGACAGCCAGGGACAGGCUGCCAGGGUGCUCAGUUCUUGUGUGCAACAUCCUCUGCUAAGGAACAGCAGUUACUCACUGCCUGGAGAACCUACAGCCUGGAAAAAAAAAAAAGCUCAAUCAACCCGAUUUUUUGUAAUUUUGAAGGGAAGAGUUUUAAAUAUUGAAAAGAAAUCACAUCUCCUGUUAGGUAUUAUAAAACUGGAAAGCUUAAUUUUGCUUUUUUUUCUCGGUUGAUUUGCAAACUCCCCUCAGUGCUGUCGGUGCUGCUGCUGCAUCACGGGGGGCUCUCUGGGGGCUGAAAAGUGUGUUCUCCAAACAAACCAAAACCAGUGUUUUGUGCCUGCACCUGCAGUGUGUGUGAGAGCUGCACAACUCUCUCCCGUGAACUCAUGCAGGUUUUAUUUACUUUGUGUUCAAAUUUACAAGCGCCUUCAAUCAACAACAAAUCCCACAUGGAUAACAAAGUCAGUGUUGCCUUUCCACCGUGGACCCUUUUCUGACACUUUAUGCCAGAACUAUGACAUUUCCACAGAUUUCUUUGGCUUUAAAACCCGUUCCCUGUGGCAGGGAGCUGUAGCACCUUCGAAGUUUCAACAGCCUAGUGAGAGUGAAUUGUUCUAGGAGAGAUUACUCAAGAGCUACUAAUCUUAGCAUAAUAAAGCCUUUGACUGACUUCCAAAGGACCUCAAUGCAUGUGGUAAGUAAACCACUCUCACCUUCUUUCUGGUCUUUCUUACAGGAAACAAAGAGUGAGAGAGACAGCAGUGAUGGAAACUCAGCCCAAGGUCAUGCAGCAAGUGGUGGCAGAGGCUGGAGAGAAAAACAACUUUGCAGGGCCGGGCGCUGUUUGCGAUGGCAAACACUGCGGGUUUCUGUCAGUGCACUUCGUUUCUGGGCACAUCUGUCCUCGCAGGAGACACGAGCAAUUAGCCUGGUCUUCCAGAGGAGCCACCAGGAAUUGUGUGGAGCCGCUGACUCCAGCUGGGAGAGGCAGGAGGGCUCCGAGCCCGUCCCUGGGAGCACAAUCCCCACUGUGCAGCUGCUCCAUCCCACAUCACUGCACACGGCGGCCCUGGACAUGGGGAAACCUGGGAGCAAGGUGGAUGUCACAGAACUGAUCACAGAAGUACAGGACAGAAAGAACCCCCAAGUUUGGGGUGGC